rnacentral:rRNA from 1 species
UACGUAGGGGGCCGAGCGUUGUCCGGAGUUAUUGGGCGUAAAGCGCGCGCAGGCGGCCUCGCGCGCCCGACGUGAAAGCCCCCGGCUUAACCGGGGAGGGUCGUUGGGGACGGCGGGGCUUGAGGGCGGGAGAGGUCGGUGGAAUUCCCGGUGUAGUGGUGAAAUGCGUAGAGAUCGGGAGGAACACCUGUGGCGAAGGCGGCCGACUGGGCCGACCCUGACGCUGAGGCGCGAAGGCGUGGGGAGCGAACGGG